UACAGAGGGGGCAAGCGUUGUUCGGAAUUACUGGGCGUAAAGGGCGCGUAGGCGGCCUGCUAAGUCGAACGUGAAAUCCCCGGGCUCAACCCGGGAACUGCGUCCGAUACUGGCAGGCUUGAAUUCGGGAGAGGGAUGCGGAAUUCCAGGUGUAGCGGUGAAAUGCGUAGAUAUCUGGAGGAACACCGGUGGCGAAGGCGGCAUCCUGGACCGAAAUUGACGCUGAGGCGCGAAAGCCAGGGGAGCAA
rnacentral:rRNA from 1 species